AUUCAGAGUUUGAUCCUGGCUCAGAUUGAACGCUGGCGGCAUGCUUUACACAUGCAAGUCGGACGGCAGCACAGAGAAGCUUGCUUCUUGGGUGGCGAGUGGCGAACGGGUGAGUAAUGCAUCGGGACGUACCGAGUAGUGGGGGAUAACUGUCCGAAAGGAUGGCUAAUACCGCAUACGCUUUGAGAAGGAAAGCAGGGGCUCUUCGGACCUUGCGCUAUUCGAGCGGCCGAUGUCUGAUUAGCUGGUUGGUGGGGUAAAGGCCUACCAAGGCGACGAUCAGUAGCGGGUCUGAGAGGAUGAUCCGCCACACUGGGACUGAGACACGGCCCAGACUCCUACGGGAGGCAGCAGUGGGGAAUUUUGGACAAUGGGCGCAAGCCUGAUCCAGCCAUGCCGCGUGUCUGAAGAAGGCCUUCGGGUUGUAAAGGACUUUUGUCAGGGAAGAAAAGGUUGUGGUUAAUACCCAUGACUGAUGACGGUACCUGAAGAAUAAGCACCGGCUAACUACGUGCCAGCAGCCGCGGUAAUACGUAGGGUGCGAGCGUUAAUCGGAAUUACUGGGCGUAAAGCGGGCGCAGACGGUUACUUAAGUCAGAUGUGAAAUCCCCGGGCUCAACCUGGGAACUGCGUUUGAAACUGGGUGACUAGAGUAUGUCAGAGGGGGGUAGAAUUCCACGUGUAGCAGUGAAAUGCGUAGAGAUGUGGAGGAAUACCGAUGGCGAAGGCAGCCCCCUGGGAUAAUACUGACGUUCAUGCCCGAAAGCGUGGGUAGCAAACAGGAUUAGAUACCCUGGUAGUCCACGCCCUAAACGAUGUCAAUUAGCUGUUGGGCAACUUGAUUGCUUAGUAGCGUAGCUAACGCGUGAAAUUGACCGCCUGGGGAGUACGGUCGCAAGAUUAAAACUCAAAGGAAUUGACGGGGACCCGCACAAGCGGUGGAUGAUGUGGAUUAAUUCGAUGCAACGCGAAGAACCUUACCUGGUCUUGACAUGUACGGAAUCCUCCAGAGACGGAGGAGUGCCUUCGGGAGCCGUAACACAGGUGCUGCAUGGCUGUCGUCAGCUCGUGUCGUGAGAUGUUGGGUUAAGUCCCGCAACGAACGCAACCCUUGUCAUUAGUUGCCAUCAUUUGGUUGGGCACUCUAAUGAGACUGCCGGUGACAAGCUGGAGGAAGGUGGGGAUGACGUCAAGUCCUCAUGGCCCUUAUGACCAGGGCUUCACACGUCAUACAAUGGUCGGUACAGAGGGUAGCCAAGCCGCGAGGUGGAGCCAAUCCCACAAAACCGAUCGUAGUCCGGAUUGCACUCUGCAACUCGAGUGCAUGAAGUCGGAAUCGCUAGUAAUCGCAGGUCAGCAUACUGCGGUGAAUACGUUCCCGGGUCUUGUACACACCGCCCGUCACACCAUGGGAGUGGGGGAUACCAGAAGUAGGUAGGGUAACCGCAAGGAGCCCGCUUACCACGGUAUGCUUCAUGACUGGGGUGAAGUCGUAACAAGGUAGCCGUAGGGGAACCUGCGGCUGGAUCACCUCCUAAUC
rnacentral:rRNA from 1 species